rnacentral:rRNA from 1 species
AUUAUGGCUCAGAUUGAACGCUGGCGGCAGGCCUAACACAUGCAAGUCGAACGGUAACAGGAAGCAGCUUGCUGCUUUGCUGACGAGUGGCGGACGGGUGAGUAAUGUCUGGGAAACUGCCUGAUGGAGGGGGAUAACUACUGGAAACGGUAGCUAAUACCGCAUAACGUCGCAAGACCAAAGAGGGGGACCUUCGGGCCUCUUGCCAUCGGAUGUGCCCAGAUGGGAUUAGCUUGUUGGUGGGGUAACGGCUCACCAAGGCGACGAUCCCUAGCUGGUCUGAGAGGAUGACCAGCCACACUGGAACUGAGACACGGUCCAGACUCCUACGGGAGGCAGCAGUGGGGAAUAUUGCACAAUGGGCGCAAGCCUGAUGCAGCCAUGCCCGCGUGUAUGAAGAAGGCCUUCGGGUUGUAAAGUACUUUCAGCGGGGAGGAAGGGAGUAAAGUUAAUACCUUUACUCAUUGACGUUACCCGCAGAAGAAGCACCGGCUAACUCCGUGCCAGCAGCCGC